GACGAACGCUGGCGGCGUGCUUAACACAUGCAAGUCGAACGAUGAAGCGGGUGCUUGCACUCGUGGAUUAGUGGCGAACGGGCGAGUAACACGUGAGUAACCUGUCCUUUUCUUUGGGAUAACGGCUGGAAACGGCUGCUAAUACUGGAUAUUCAGGCUGCAUCGCAUGGCGUGGUUUGGAAAGGUUUUUUCUGGGAUUGGGUGGGCUCGCGGCCUAUCAGCUUGUUGGUGGGGUGAUGGCUUACCAAGGCUUUGACGGGUAGCCGGCCUGAGAGGGUGGUCGGUCGCACUGGGACUGAGAUACGGCCCAGACUCCUACGGGAGGCAGCAGUGGGGAAUAUUGCACAAUGGACGAAAGUUUGAUGCAGCGACGCCGCGUGGAGGGUGUAGGCCUUCGGGUUGUGAACUCCUUUUUCUCGCGAAAAAGGCACAGUUUUGGCUGUGUUGAUGGUAGUGGGGGAAGAAGCGCCGGCUAACUACGUG
rnacentral:rRNA from 1 species